AUGUCAUUUCGAGUACUUAUGUGGAACGUUAGGGGGCUGAAUAACCCGGCCAGGCGCAACUCAAUCUGUCUAUUUAUGUAGUCCUGUGAUGUGUCGUUGGUUUGCUUCCAAGAAUCUAAGCUGAAUGUAGUUGAUCCAAUGGUGAUGAAUCAGACGCUUGGUCCAGAGUUUGAUGGGUUUGAGUCUUUGCCAGUGGAAGGCACCAGAGGGGGAAUUCUGUUAGCUUGGAGAUCAGACCGUCUGAAGAUCACAAAUGUUCAGAAGCUGGAGUUCUCUAUUUCGGCGACCAUAACUUCUCUGGCUGAUGGCAAAACCUGGCUGGUCACGUCGGUCUAUGGCCCGCAAGAGGAUGGUGACAAGGUGCAGUUUUUGGAGGGGAUUGAGCAGCACGGGGAGCAGGUGCAGCUUCCAUGGAUUCUUAAUGGAGAUUUCAACAUAGUCACGCAUGAGGAUGAGCGCAGCACAGGGCGAGCAAACAGAAGACCGAUGAACAAGUUCAGACACACAAUCAACAAGCUGGGUCUGCAUGACAUGCCUCUGGUAGGAAGGAAGUUCACAUGGUGUAAUGGGCAGGAGAGGUCCAUUAUGGCCAGACUCGAUAGAGUUCUGUUUAACAAUGACUGGGAAGACCCGUAUCCAAUCAGCGAUCUACUACUCUUGAGUUCUAAUGUUAAACCAUUGUCCAAUGCUUCUAUCAUGUUCCUCAGACAUACCUAG
rnacentral:rRNA from 1 species